rnacentral:rRNA from 1 species
UACGAGGGGGGCAAGCGUUGUUCGGAAUUAUUGGGCGUAAAGGGUGCGUAGGCGGCGGAGUAAGUUGGGUGUGAAAUCCCGGGGCUCAACCUCGGAAUUGCAUUCAAUACUGCUUCGCUAGAGUACUGGAGAGGAGGCUGGAAUUUACGGUGUAGCAGUGAAAUGCGUAGAUAUCGUAAGGAAGGCCGGUGGCGAAAGCGAGCCUCUGGACAGUUACUGACGCUGAUGCACGAAGGCCAGGGGAGCAAACGGG